AAUAGAUGACGCCGUUGACUUUUUCGCACAUGUUUGAGCAUUCGUCUUAUCCAAAAAAUUUACGUAAUUAUAAUUUAUUGUGUUAUGAGUUGUUUUAUCACUCAUAGUAAUUUAAGUGUGAUUUAUAUCUUAUACAUUUGCAUAAAUUUUUUGCAUAAGACGAAUGCUUAAACAUGUGCGAAAAAGUCAACGGCGUCAUCUAUU
rfam:Oryza sativa (indica cultivar-group) chromosome 4, whole genome shotgun sequence.